AAACCCUGUGGGAAGCAGGAGGGACCACCCUCCAAGGCUAAAUACUACCUAGUGACCGAUAGCGUAUAGUACCGUGAGGGAAAGGGGAAAAGAACCCCGGGAGGGGAGUGAAAUAGAACCUGAAACCAUGCACUUACAAGCUGUGGAAGCACAUUUCUUGUGUGACCGCGUACUUUUUGUAGAACGGGCCAACGAGUUACGUUAAGUAGCAAG
rnacentral:rRNA from 1 species